CGCGGUUUGCGCCGCGCUGGAUUGGACCGUGGCCGCUCUGGCCGACGCACGUCAGCCCGGCCGAAAUACAUGCGGAGCGCAUACGCGUCGCCGCGACGUCACCAGCGUUGUAGAUUCCUCGCUGGCGUCGCCGUGGAGCGCGGCUCCCAAGCCCCCUUUAUUUCGACCUCAGAUCAAGCAGGAUUACCCGCUGAACUUAA
rnacentral:misc_RNA from 1 species